rnacentral:rRNA from 1 species
AUUGAACGCUGGCGGCAGGCCUAACACAUGCAAGUCGAGCGAGCGGCGGACGGGUGAGUACUGUCUGGGAACCUGCCUGAUGGAGAGGGAUAACUACUGGAAACGGUAGCUAAUACCGCAUACCUUCAGGUGUGCCAAGAUGGGAUUAGCUAGUAGGUGGGGUAACGGCUCACCAAGGCGACGAUCCCUAGCUGGUCUGGGAGGAUGACCAGCCACACGGGAACUGAGACACGGUCCAGACUCCUACGGGAGGCAGCAGUGGGGAAUAUUGCACAAUGGGGGCAAGCCUGAUGCAGCCAUGCCGCGUGUGUGAAGAAGGCCUUCGGGUUGUAAAGCACUUUCAGCGGGGAGGCGUUACCAGCAGAAGAAGCACCGGCUAACUCCGUGCCAGCAGCCGCGGUAAUAC